CAGCCGCCGCGGGAAUACGAAGGGGGCUAGCGUUGUUCGGAAUUACUGGGCGUAAAGCGCACGUAGGCGGAUAUUUAAGUCAGGGGUGAAAUCCCGCAGCUCAACUGCGGAACUGCCUUUGAUACUGGGUAUCUUGAGUAUGGAAGAGGUUAGUGGAAUUGCGAGUGUAGAGGUGAAAUUCGUAGAUAUUCGCAGGAACACCAGUGGCGAAGGCGACCACCUGGACUGAUACUGACACUGAGGUGCGAAAGCGUGGGGAGCAAACAGGAUUAGAUACCCGAGUAGUCCCUGUCUCUUAUAC
rnacentral:rRNA from 1 species